GCCCGGAUGGUGGAAUUGGUAGACACGCAGGACUUAAAAUCCUGUUCCUGUUGAGGGAGUGCGGGUUCGAUUCCCGCUCCGGGUA
rnacentral:tRNA from 1 species